UGUUCUAAUUGGCUGAGAGCAGUACAGUGUGUUCUAAUUGGCUGAGAACAAUCAGACUGUUGGCAUAUGACAGUGUUUGACGGUAUGAGGUGGCGUGUGAUUGUGUUUGACGGUAUGAGGUGGCGUAUGAUUGUGUUUGAUUGUGUGAGGUGGCGUAUGAUUGUGUUUGAUGGUGUGUGGUGGUGUUUGAUGGUAUGAGGUGGCGUAUGAUUGUGUUUGAUGGUAUGAGGUGGCGUAUGAUUGUGUUUGAUGGUAUGAGGUGGCGUGUGAUUGUGUUUGACGGUAUGAGGUGGCGUAUGAUUGUGUUUGAUGGUAUGAGGUGGCGUAUGAUUGUGUUUGAUGGUAUGAG
ensembl:lncRNA